rnacentral:lncRNA from 1 species
AAAAAAAGUCUCUGUCUUGAGAACGUGUGAAGUCUCAGGUGCAUUAACAAAAGACCUGGAACCAUUCACAGUGCAGCGGAAAGCUUCUUUUGAGGCAGACGUUACAAUUCAUCCUUCUUCUUUCCUACUCUCUCAUGGUCUCUUUCUCUAAGGGUUCGCAUGAACGUGGUGAAUCCAGCCUCCCCUCUCUCUCCAGUAUAUUUUUCCACAAACUUCCCAUAGUUGUAAUAGUUGAAGGUGGGGUAGCCAUCAACUCCCUCCUGCUUGCACAGGUCAUGAUUCUGAUCUUUGGCACAGUCCACCGCAGCGUAGGCGAUCUUUCGGUCUUCUUUAAAGACUUCGGCAGCAGUCGUAAAAUGUGGAAUGGCAUUUUUGCAGUGAGGGCACCACGGUGCGUAGAACAUGACAAGGGUGUGCUUCUUCUUCUUCAAGGACUCCCUGAAGUCUUCUCCAGCAAGAUGGACAACACUGCUCUGUUUUUCUUCCCAUGCAGGCUCGGGUGGAGGUGGUGCUUCAGGAUUUUGCAGCCAAUCGAUGAUCUUCUUUUUCGUUCUGAGGUGUGGCAGAGUGUAUUUCUCUUCUCCAUCCUUAAAGUACUUCACAGUAGGAAACCCUGAGAUGUGGUAUCUUUCUGCCAGUGCUUUGUUGACGGUAGCAUCUACUGCUGCAAGGACACCUGGGCUAUCACUGCCUGCAUGGAGAAACUCUGCAGCCUUCUCAUAUUCUGGCUUC